GACGAACGCUGGCGGCGUGCCUAAUACAUGCAAGUAGAACGCUGAAGAGAGGAGCUUGCUCUUCUUGGAUGAGUUGCGAGCGGGUGAGUAACGCGUAGGUAACCUGCCUUGUAGCGGGGGAUAACUAUUGGAAACGAUAGCUAAUACCGCAUAACAAUGGAUGACCCAUGUCAUUUAUUUUAAAGGGGCAAAUGCUCCACUACAAGAUGGACCUGCGUUGUAUUAGCUAGUAGGUGAGGUAACGGCUCACCUAGGCGACGAUACAUAGCCGACCUGAGAGGGUGAUCGGCCACACUGGGACUGAGACACGGCCCAGACUCCUACGGGAGGCAGCAGUAGGGAAUCUUCGGCAAUGGGGGCAACCCUGACCGAGCAACGCCGCGUGAGUGAAGAAGGUUUUCGGAUCGUAAAGCUCUGUUGUAAGUCAAGAACGAGUGUGAGAGUGGAAAGUUCACACUGUGACGGUAGCUUACCAGAAAGGGACGGCUAACUACGUG
rnacentral:rRNA from 1 species